CCCGCAAUAUUUUAGCGGGAAAAUAAAAUUCGUGUUUAUUUGGCAAAAUUUUAUUUUUGUCGACGGCAACAGCUUCAGGAGGUUUAAUUUCAAUAAAUUCCUAUAGUUUUGGACAUUUUAGACUGUUUAUCAGUGGAAUAAAGCACGCAAAUUUCCAGCUCGGCUUGCCGGGCUAGCCCGGUUGUGCAUUCAUAUGAGCCCGGCAAGCCGGGAUCUCGCCUCGCUCAAGCGAGAUCCCGGCAAACCGGGCUGGCCCGCUUCUCAUAUG